rnacentral:rRNA from 1 species
AGUGAACGCUGGCGGUAGGCCUAACACAUGCAAGUCGAACGGCAGCACAGUAAGAGCUUGCUCUUACGGGUGGCGAGUGGCGGACGGGUGAGGAAUACAUCGGAAUCUACUUUUUCGUGGGGGAUAACGUAGGGAAACUUACGCUAAUACCGCAUACGACCUACGGGUGAAAGCAGGGGAUCUUCGGACCUUGCGCGAUUGAAUGAGCCGAUGUCGGAUUAGCUAGUUGGCGGGGUAAAGGCCCACCCAGGCGACGAUCCGUAGCUGGUCUGAGAGGAUGAUCAGCGACACUGGAACUGAGACACGGUCCAGAGUCCUACGGGAGGCAGCAGUGGGGAAUAUUGGACAAUGGGCGCAAGCCUGAUCCAGCCAUACCGCGUGGGUGAAGAAGGCGUUGGGGUUGUAAAGCCCUUUUGUUGGGAAAGAAAAGCAGCAGGUUAAUACCCCGCUGUUCUGACGGUACCCAAAGAAUAAGCACCGGCUAACUUCGUG